UAUUUCUUCUGGAAAGUGAUCUUAAUCCUCUGAAAAGUGAAAAGAUUUUGUUAUGUGUGUUUUCCCAGAAGGAAUGGGUGAUCUGCAGAGUAUUCAAGAAGACUUCCGGCGGGCACAAGAUCCAUAUUUCUGGGCUGACCAAGGGGGAGAGGCUGCCCGCGUUAAUGGAAGUAUCUCAGAGAACGGCAACUUCCGGCGAGACGGUGCCACACGUGACCUGCUUCUCCGACUCCAAGGAGGACAAAAACCCAUGUGAUGUUAGUCUGGUACAACAGAACCUAAGCAUUCCAUGUAACUGCCAUCAAGGUUUUACAUUUGAUGAAAUAUUGGUCCAUCAUAUGGCAAGAUCCGUUUUUUUUUUUUUUUUUUUUUUCAAUAGUUUCCUGCAGUACUUCUUAAGGACUUAAUUUAUGCUAUAUAAAAUAUGGAUUUCAUAUUAUGAGCACACAUGACUGUUUGAUGCUCUUUCUUGGAGAGGUGGGCAGGGGAGAGAAUAAUGAAGAGGAUCAAAAUAUUAGCAAUUUGUUUCAUUCAAUAUCCUGAAUCUGUAGUCUUGGAUGCUUCUAUUUCUUUGGAGGAUUUCAAGUGUCAUUGUAUAAUGUUUAUAUGAAGUGGAUAAAUUUCUUGGAUUUUGGUUCUUUUUGUUUGUGAUUGCUGAGUUUUGCACUUGUGGUUUUCAAAUCUUCAGGUGACUACUCCAUUGCUUUUUAAGCUAAUACCUGCUGUGGUGCACCUUGGGGUGCUGCUUAGGUGGUUUUCACCUGACAACCAAACUGAGUUGGGGUUAAAAGGAGAAACCCUCAGAUCAGAGAGUGUUAAGCAAAGGAUUGCCUUGAUAUCCAAGGAUCUCUUGAUUCACUAGGGGUAAACUAGUGAAGCUAGAUGCCACAUAUGCCCGGGGACAACAAAAAGGCUACAUUCCCAGCUCAAUUUUUAGUAUAUGCACUUGAGAUUCCUGCUCAAUUCAACGAAGCUUGCUUUACGUUGUGCUAUAUACAUCAGCUUAGACUUUUAGAGAGAAGGGAGUGGCAACAACCUCUGAAAAUGGGAAACCAGAAUUGGAGGUUUUCUAACUCUCACAGAACCACUAACAAGAUGAAGCAUUCAUUCGCAUUUAACCAAGGUAAUUUUGAUUUUUCUUUUUCCUCUUGUCAUUCUUUUUCAUUUUUUGCUAGUGUAAAAUAGUUUUUGGUUUGUGAUGUGUAGUGAAUUUUGUGCAACCGCAUUUGGUUAUGUAUGUUUGUUCUGUAGAUUCGAGAAUGUAACAAAAAAAAAAAAAAAACAUUUUCUAGCCUGUUAUUCCAUGUCAAUUGUAUAGAAGUGCCAUUUCUCAGUACUUUCUAUUCUUGAAAAUUUGCCCAAGUUUUGGGAUGGUAA